rnacentral:lncRNA from 1 species
UGCCAUCGCCACCUGCCUCCAAGCCCAGAAGUGGAUGUAUGGGGGCCUGGACACCAAUGUGAUGCUGCAGUAUCUGGCCUGGGUCACCUACCCCACUGUGCUCAUCACCUUCUCAGCUGGCUUCACCCAGAUCCUAGCCCCACAGGCUGUGGGUAAGGUGCAUGUGCCCUAACGGGGUCCCCCCUCCCUGGGGCUGUGGGUUGUGAACAAUCUGAGUGGCCUAAGCUAUGGGGCUGGUGUAUUCAAAG